rnacentral:rRNA from 1 species
UGGAAACUGGGAGACUGGAGAGCAGAAGAGGAGAGUGUGACUCCAUGUGUAGCGGUGAAAUGCGUAGAUAUAUGGAAGAGCACCAGUGGCGAAAGCGGCUCUCUGGUCUGUAACUGACGCUGAGGUUCGAAAGCGUGGGUAGCAAACAGG